UACGUAGGGGGCGAGCGUUGUCCGGAGUUACUGGGCGUAAAGCGCACGCAGGCGGUCUGCUAAGUUUGGAGUGACAGUUGGUGGCUUAACUGCCAAAGUGCUUCGAAAACUGACAGACUUGAGGGCUUCAGAGGGACACGGAAUUCCGGGUGGAGUGGUGAAAUGCGUAGAGAUCCGGAGGAACACCAAAGGCGAAGGCAGUGUCCUGGGGAGUACCUGACGCUGAGGCACGAAAGCUAGGGGAGCAAACAGG
rnacentral:rRNA from 1 species